rnacentral:misc_RNA from 1 species
ACUUGGGGUGCUACAAGUAUCCUCAACCAUGGGAGAUGCAUCCCAUAACUUUUCAUUUGUCUGUUUUGGCCCAAGCACUUUAUGCAACUCACUAUCCUUGGGAAAUCUAAAGAAACUGCUUACAACUUUGUUAUCCAUAUCGUUAGCAGUUUGCCUCCAGCUGGUUCCCCUGCUAUAUUGCCUGCAGGAUGAGAACUCAUAAGUCCACUGAACGAUUCUCCAAACAUUCCCACAUUGUCAUCAUUAGAGUCAG